AUACGUAGGGUGCGAGCGUUGUCCGGAAUUACUGGGCGUAAAGAGCUCGUAGGUGGUUUGUCGCGUCGUCUGUGAAAUUCCGGGACUUAACUCCGGGCGUGCAGGCGAUACGGGCAUAACUUGAGUACUGUAGGGGAGACUGGAAUUCCUGGUGUAGCGGUGAAAUGCGCAGAUAUCAGGAGGAACACCGGUGGCGAAGGCGGGUCUCUGGGCAGUAACUGACGCUGAGGAGCGAAAGCAUGGGUAGCGAACAGGAUUAGAUACCCUGGUAGUCCAUGCCGUAAACGGUGGGCGCUAGGUGUAGGGGUCUUCCACGACUUCUGUGCCGUAGCUAACGCAUUAAGCGCCCCGCCUGGGGAGUACGGCCGCAAGGCUAAAACUCAAAGGAAUUGACGGGG
rnacentral:rRNA from 1 species